rnacentral:lncRNA from 1 species
GAGUCGGUGGGCAGGACCUGACUCUGGAAUCUGGUGAUUCCUCCGCCCCGGAGGGCACAGACCCUACAUCCUGAACCUCUUUCCCCGGGUCUCCAAAGAGACUGUCGAGGCCCCAAAGAGCCGUGAGGGUGCGGACUCGCUGGCACCAUAAUGCCCUGAACGAGGCACCGGACAACGUAGUCUUUAUUUAUGUGACUGAGAAGAUACAAGUCCUCGCCCUCGAGACUAGUCGGGCGUAUUUGGGUCCACCUUACUGUCCCCAAACAUGUGGCUCGCGGUGGAACUGGACAGCGUCGAUCCGGAUGGGCGUAGGGCCCAACACAGACCUCGGGCCGCGUGCUGCGUCACCUAGGACGCCAGCGUGACUCCUGGACCUCGAUUAUCUCAGCUACAGCCUGAGGACAGCGAACUGAUGUGACUCAGCUGCAGUGCCAGCCUUCUACCCCGCGGGUGCCGAACCCGGGACCUCCGGGGUCACCGCUGCUGACGGCGUACCUCCGAGAGGACCAUCUCCUGAAGCCUCUUCUGCCUUCCCCCAAAUUUCCUUUCUCCCUCGUAAAGCACAAGGGCACAGCCCUAGCCCCCGCGCAGAGAGCGCGCAAGCAGGGGAGCUUGGGGCUCCGCUGAUGCGCAUGCUCUGUGGCUUCCAUCGGGGCGGGCUCUCCGGCCCAGAGUCAGCCUUCAGGAAGGCUCCACUGAUUGGCCCGGCUACUCAAGCCACACCCACUACCCCCUGAUGGACAGCUUCUUACCUGCCUGGUCAGCUUCCGAGGCUUGGCCUUGAAAACCAGAGGCGGGGCCGGGGGAUUUCUUAGGACGCCUCCUGAUCAAGUGUUAGGAAACUUAUGGGGGAAAAAAAAAAAAUGGAAUUGCGUCCCACCUCUUCAAAAACCCAAAUCCCUGGCCUAAAGCUAAUAUUAGAGCUGAAGGGAGAAAAUACCUAGUUUAGAGAGCAAAACACCACCAUUCUGGGAUUAAUGAGCCGGCCUGGCACAUUAAGAUUUAGAGCUCGGGUAUGCAACUGGUACUCAAUAAAUGCUUGCUGAACUGGAUUUUAUUUAUUUAUUUUUUGCACCCUACUGAGUUGAGUUCACAAGGUGUAACAUUGAACAGCGGGAAAGAUUGAAAGAUUUUUUUUUUAAUUCCUUGUUUAGUUUUUGUCGUUUUGUUUUAAGUUUCAAUUUUAGUUACUUUGUGGGUCUGUGUACCUGCGUGCAGUGUCCAUGGAGACUAGAGGCUUUGAACUUUUUUUUUUAAUUACACACCAGCUUUUUUUCUCUUCUGUGCAAACCUGGAAUGUCCUAGACUUUUCUCAGAGUACGGCUAAGGCUACGUGAUAAUAAAACAGAGGCAGGCCAACCACGCCCUGCUUUCUGUGGAAAAACUAACAGGUUUUAUCUGACUGUCCAGGACUUUUGUUUAUGCCUCUGAGCUACACUGGGAACAGCUGCCCUGUUAAGUGAACUGAGAUACACGCGUGAAUCAUAAAACUCUCUGAACUCAGUCUCUAAAAAUCCUACAUAUGUUGAAGGAGAAGCCUGAUCUUUUCCAAAAGCGAAGGAAAUUUUCUUUUGUGUCGUUGAUGACUCUAGUAAGUACUGAAGAGAUAAUCAGGUUUGAGAUUUUUGCGUACAAAUGACUACUACAGAGAAAUAUUUACAAUUCAAGCAUUUACUCAACUUUUAACGACCUUACUGGACGAUGUCUUAUUCACUUGAAGAUAUGCACAUGUUCUAAUGGCACAUGAGUUUUGUUUUUCAAAGUAUCUCCUCUAGUUAAGGCCGGUCGUGAUUCAUGAUGAACCAGCCUCUGGCUCCCAAUGCAGGGAUUACAAGCAAACAUUCACCACACACCUGAAAAUAUAACUUCCUUUAAAUAUCAGAGAUAUCUUGAAAGAGAAUUUCUGUGUUUAGAAGAAAACAGUAAGUAACCUGUUCAGAGUAGGUACUCCUCGGACCCGGAGACAUGGUUCAGGGUUAAGAGGACUGGCUUCCAGAGGGCUGGGGUUUUAAUUUCCAGCACCCAUAUGGAGUAUCUGAUGUAUCUACCAAUUGCUGGAACAAUCACAACUGCAUGUAACUCCAGCUGCAGUGAGAGCGUACAUCCUCUUUAGGCUCUAAAGACACCCACUCGUACAUGAACAUUCAUACCAGCAAACACAUAUAUACGUAUACAUGAUAAAACUGAAAGUUAAAUCUGGGGGAAAACCCUACUAUUCAAGAAAAGGGAUAAAUUAUAAACAGCCAAAAUGAUACCCAGAAUAGUGAAAAGUCUGUUACAUUACCAAAACCCUCACAAAGGCAUAGCAUGGUGUUCUAUCUAAAACACACACAUACAAAAACCUACUAAAAAUAAUAAAUCAGGUUUGCAGUGUUGUACGAUACGAGAUUUAUAUUCAAAAGUCAUUUAAUUUUAUUUGAUAGCAAUUGAACAAUCGAAAACAAAUUAGGGAAACAAUUCAAUUUACAGUACCAUCAAAAAGAAUAAAAUGUUUAUGCCUAAAGCAAACACAAGACUUGCACAUUAAAAACUGGAAAAUGUAAUUGGAAGACAGUAUGGAGAAGCUUGCCAUGACACUGGAUUAUAAGACAUAAUCUUAUUAAAAGGAAAGCAGAGUGGAGUGGUAUGUGCCUAUAAUCCAGCAUACAGGAGGCUGAAGCAAGAGGAUUAUACAUUUGAGACCAGCCUGCAUGAGAUGGCAUGUUCUCAUAGAAGUCACAUGGAAAGGAAAAGAGCUCAGAAUAUCCAACACUGCCAUAAGAAUAAAAACUGACCUACAUAGUAUUAGCACAAGGACCAAAAUCCAUACCAGCGACAUGCCAUUAAUGACUCCAAAAUAAACAAUUCCACUAUGGGCAGAAGCAACAUGACCACUAGAUGGGCAAAGGAUGUUCUUUUUAACAACUGCUGCUGACACAACUUAAUAGGCAGAAGAACAAAUUCAUACGCGUGCGCCAAAUAAUAUCUAAUUUUGUGUUAUAGUAUAACACACCAAAGAUGUGAGAUGAGCUAAAACUACAAACACUUAGAAUGGAGGCAUAUGGGUUUUUAUGAACUUGAAUUAGCUUCAAGC